rnacentral:rRNA from 1 species
UACAACUUUCAGCAAUGGAUCUCUUGGCUCUCGCAUCGAUGAAGAACGCAGCGAAAUGCGAUAAGUAAUGUGAAUUGCAGAAUUCAGUGAAUCAUCGAAUCUUUGAACGCAUCUUGCGCUCCUUGGUAUUCUGAGGAGCAUGCCUGUUUGAGUGUCAUUA